ACAGGCACGUCCCUGCUUAGAUGGGCUCUAAGUAUUGCCCUUUUUAUUCCACACCAAAAAAAAAAAAAAAAGCAGCCCAUCAAGGGAAAACCACCCAGAAAGCUGGUCCCAAACUCUCGGCGGACAGAAAGCGAUCUCAGCAGUCUGAUAUCAACAUUAUAAAAAUGGAGUUAACUAACCGCUUGUCAAUGUGAUUUCAACAUUCAACUCAAGUAAACAGAGCAAAGCCAACUUUCUUUGAUGAAUGUUAGUUCUAACCGCUCUAAUUUCUUAUAAUUAUAUAGUGAAAAAAGACUUGCUGGACGUUUUCCUAUUAAAAAAAAAACUCAAAGUUUGAGCAUUCUGUUGCUAAACCUUGCUAUUAAUUAUUAUAUAUUUAUUAUAGUUAUUUAAUUUAGGCUUCCACGCCACUAGAAUGACCACAACUCGCACAGUAAUAGUCGUGCUUGUAGAAUUAAAAAAUUUCCAAUUGAUUUGACAAAUUAUUUUGGUGGUCUUAUUUGUUAAAUGUCAUCUUAUUUUUUGUUAUGGUAAUUAAAUUAAAUUAAAUAUUUGAAAAAUCAAGAUUUUAUUUCCAAAUAUCAUUUUUGGAUCACUUAAGCCUUUUUUUUUUAAUGA
rnacentral:lncRNA from 1 species